AAUAAGUUCAUUUAUAGAUUUCUGUAUCCAAAACUUGAUUAUCCGUCUUAUUUGAAUUUUUUUUAUGAUUAGUAUUUUUAUUGUUGUUAGAUGAUAAAACUUGAAUAGUACUUUAUGAGUGACUUUUUUUUAUAAAUUUUUCAAAUAAGAUGGAUAGUCAAACGUUGGACACAAAACUCACAAAUUAACUUACU
rfam:Oryza glumipatula chromosome 9, whole genome shotgun sequence.